rnacentral:lncRNA from 1 species
UAAGUCAAUACUGAAGGCAUUUCCUUGACAGUAACAUUGCAAGUUAAUUUUUACAACAGGGAUUCCGUGGAAUUAAGGGGGAAAAAGGGGAGCCAGGCCAACCUGGCCUGGAUGGGCUGGAUGCCCCUUGCCAAUUGGGUCCCGAUGGAUUACCAAUGCCUGGCUGUUGGCAAAAGUGAUGAAUCUAACCUUACAAGCAUGAAGUUGUGUAUAUAGCGCUCCACUUCUUUUAUUUAUAGUUGAAAACUGAAAAUUUGGUUUUACAAGUCUGAGAUAUGUUUACAUGUAGCUGCUUCUACUUGUUUGCAAUAGUCCAUACGUACUUUUUCACUUACAUCUGCAGUUAGGUGAUACUGCAGGGUAAACCUGCAAAGAUUGUCUCUCUAAUGAGAGAUAUCGAAACAAAAAUCAAUAAUAGAAAUUAAUAUUUCUGUAAAUUCUUAUAUUUUGGCUUGUGGAUAUGCAUGGACA